AUUGAACGCUGGCGGCAUGCUUUACACAUGCAAGUCGAACGGGGUGAAGGGGCAACCCUUCAUUCAGUGGCGAACGGGUGAGUAAUGCAUCGGAACGUACCUCGUAGUGGGGAGUAACUCGCGAAGACCGUGCUAAUACCGCAUAUGCUCUACGGAGGAAAGCAGGGGACCGUGAAAGGGCCUUGUGCUAUGGGAGGCGGCCGAUGUCCGAUUAGCUAGUUGGUGGGGUAANGGCCUACCAAGGCGACGAUCGGUAGCUGGUCUGAGAGGAUGAUCAGCCACACUGGGAC
rnacentral:rRNA from 1 species